AUACCUUUCUCGGCCUUUUAGCUAAGAUCAAGUGUAGUAUCUGUUCUUAUUAGUUUAAUAUCUGAUAUGUGAGCCAAUGGCUCACAAGGGGGAGGGUCCACCACAGUAGCUUGCUAUUAGCUUGCUAUUGGGAUUCUCAAGUGUCGCCCAUGCCUUACACUAUUGCAAGGGCCUGGCGCACCCCAU